CUCAAAUCAGGUAGGAUUACCCGCUGAACUUAAGCAUAUCAAUAAGCGGAGGA
rnacentral:rRNA from 1 species